rnacentral:rRNA from 1 species
ACCCGGGAAACUGGGUAUAAUACCCGAUAGGUCUCGAUUGCUGGAAUGCAUCGAGAUUUAAAGCUCCGGCGCCUAAGGAUGGGUCUGCGGCCUAUCAGGUAGUAGUGGGUGUAGCGUACCUACUAGCCUACGACGGGUACGGGUUGUGAGAGCAAGAGCCCGGAGAUGGAUUCUGAGACACGAAUCCAGGCCCUACGGGGUGCAGCAGGCGCGAAAACUUUACAAUGCUGGCAACAGCGAUAAGGGAACCUCGAGUGCCAGGUUACAAAUCUGGCUGUCGAGAUGCCUAAAAAGCAUUUCAUAGCAAGGGCCGGGCAAGACCGGUGCCAGCCGCCGCGGUAACACCGGCGGCUCGAGUGGUAACCGUUAUUAUUGGGUCUAAAGGGUCUGUAGCCGGCCGGAUAAGUCUCUUGAGAAAUCUGGCAGCUUAACUGUCAGGCUUUCAGGAGAUACUGUCUGGCUCGAGGCCGGGAGAGGUGAGAGGUACUUCAGGGGUAGGGAUGAAAUCUUGUAAUCCUUGAAGGACCACCAGUGGCGAAGGCGUCUCACCAGAACGGACCUGACGGCAAGGGAUGAAAGCUAGGGGCACGAACCGGAUUAGAUACCCGGGUAGUCCUAGCCGUAAACGAUACUCGCUAGGCGUCGACCACGGUGCGACUGUUGUCGGUGCCGUAGGGAAGCCGUGAAGCGAGCCACCUGGGAAGUACGGCCGCAAGGCUGAAACUUAAAGGAAUUGGCGGGGGAGCACCACAACGGGUGGAGCUUGCGGUUUAAUUGGAUUCAACGCCGGG